GCGUCUCCGGAUCCGGGAGCAGGGCCUCUGGGGCGGGUCCCGUCCCAACGGACACAACGGACCUGGUUCCGUGCAGCUGCGACUGCUUGGAGUGCUUUCCGGUGCUCCAGGUGCGAAGCAAAGGCACAAACCGCGGGCACCUUGCCACAGAAACCCAGCGCAGGAGCCAGGGCUGAGGAGCAGGAUGUCGGGGAUCCCCCCCUGCUCCCCGCGAGCGGCCUGGCUGGAGGAGGCUGGGGCCUCCCCGGCCUCCAGGCCCCGGCCGCAGCCCUAUGAGGAGAGUGAGGUGCAGCCACUGCAGGCGCCCUCUGGCUCAGGCGUGGGCCCUUCUGCCUCGGCCGCGCCGCGGCAGGAGGAAGAGGACGCCCUGAGCUUCAUCCGCGCUUGCUGCAGCCGCAGACCCAAGCGAGAGGCACAGAAGCUGAGGUUUCUGGCCUCCGUCUGCGACGCCUGCAAAGCCGCCGUCGCGGACCACACCACCUGGGACGCGGUGUAUUUCUGCCAGCUGGAGGUGGCGCAGAGAAUCAAGGCGCUGCUGCAGGAGGAGCCCACCGAUCGCCUGGACACGGCGGUGCGGCAGAAAGCCAUGCUCGCCAUCGCCGCCAUGAGCAGAGCGGGGCUGCUGCCGCAGGACAGGACGAACGGCCUCCUGCGCGCCUGCCUCUGCAGCGUCUUCCACCUCCCUGGCCACGAGGACACGAGAGACACGGACACGUCUCUCUACUUCAAGACCGUGGAAGCCCUGGACAGCCUGCUGCAGGUGCUGGUGGGCAGCGCCGGCGCCUCCGGCCUCCUGGAGCUGCAGAACAUCUUGAAGGUCUGGCUUUGGCAAAGGCUGGGCUUCACGCACGCGGUCAGUUCUGUGCCGCAACGCCUGGUGCAGGCAGGGGUCCCCAAGGCGGGGGCUGGCCCACAGCUGGCCCUUGC
rnacentral:lncRNA from 1 species